rnacentral:lncRNA from 1 species
GCGCGAGAAGGAGCAGGAGCAGGUGCGGCCGUGGCGGGAGCAGGUGACGCUGCGCGGCAUGGUGGCGGCGCUGCUGAUCGGCUUCAUGUACACCGUCAUCGUCAUGAAGAUCGCGCUCACCACGGGUCUGGUGCCCACGCUGAACGUCUCGGCGGCGCUGAUGGCGUUCCUCGCGCUCCGCGGGUGGACGCGCGUGCUGGAGCGCCUCGGCGUCGCGCACCGCCCCUUCACGCGCCAAGAGAACUGCGUCGUCGAGACCUGCGCCGUCGCGUGCUACACCAUCGCCUUCGGCGGUCAGCAGCUCAGCUCAGCUCAGCUCAGCGCGGGAUGCACGCCGGCGUGACGGUUGCCGUUGACUGAUUCGCGCGCGCGCGUGUGCAGGUGGGUUCGGCUCCACGUUGCUGGGCCUGGACAAGAAGACGUACGAGCUGGCCGGGGCGUCGCCGGCCAACGUGCCGGGGAGCUACAAGGACCCUGGAUUCGGCUGGAUGGCUGGAUUCAUCGCGGCAAUCAGCUUCGCCGGCCUCCUAAGCUUGAUUCCCCUCAGAAAGGUGCUGUUCCUCUCUGUCUCUAUUUAUCAUUCUUCUCCAUCUGCUAGACAAAAUAUUCCUAUGAUUUUGAACGGAGGAAGCAUUUUUCAAGGUUUUUCUUUUCCAUAUUUAAAGUUCGAUUAACAAACGUUUGAACAGCUAAGGUGACAAGCUUUAUCAUUCGAGGACACAAAAUGGAAACUGAGGUUGAAUACCCAAUAUAUAAUUUCUUGAGUUUUUCAUCAUUAUUCCACAGACAAAAAAACUUAUGUAAUCCUUUUCUUUUGCCAUUGACGCAUAAAUGAAAUAGUUUUUGGUAGCAGUGGUAGUUACUCAAUCCAGAUAUAAAUAAGUGAUGUUCUGAACAUUGGAGCGCACGGUCGACAUUGAUAAUACUAUUUAUUACUAUCUUUUAUAAAACUAAUUCUCACUACAUAUUUUAUCUCAACAUACAAAACAUUUACAUCAUCUUCCACGGUAAAGUUUAUUUUUCUCUUGAGGAUAUGUGCACUCACUCUCCUACCAAUUGGAUUUGCUUUGAGAAGUAUGCAAACACACAUCUCAAUGCGAAACUGCUUUGAGAUGUGUGUUUGCACACUUCUCAAAGCGAAUCCAAUGGGUGGGAGAGUGAAGGCAUGUGCCCUUAAGGGCAAAAAAACCGCCUUCCAUCUUCCACUAAUUGGCCAAGUUAUGUUACUAACUUUCCAACCUCUUAAUACAAGCUAUCUCAAAUUCUAUCAAGACAUACACAUCAUCUUUCACUAAUAACUAUGUUAUGUCACUAACUUUCAACCUCUUAACGCAAGCUAUCCACGCUAUCUUAAAUUCUAGCUCAAUAUGCAAGACAUCCACAUCAUGUUCCACUAAUAGCCAUGUCAUAUACCUAACUUCCAACCUCUUAAUGAAAGUUUUCCGCAUUAUCUCAAGUUUUAUCUCAACAUACAAGAAAUCCACAUUAUGUUCCACUAACUAUCCACAUAAUCUUUCACUAAUAGACAUAUCAUGCCACUAACUUUCAACCUCUUAAUACAUGCUAUCCAUGUCAUCUCUACUUAAUUUCUUUUUUUUUUUGCAAUCUCCGCACCAAACGUGCAGAGUAUCUUCUAGUCUAUGAAAUAUAGCAAAAAAGUAUUUGUAUGGAACUCAGACGAAUAUAUUCAUGUCAUUUAUAGUGUCUAAACUCAGCAUAUAAUUUAGAAUGGUUGACUUAGAGCAACCUCAAAGUGUCACUUACUAGUGAUCGGAGGGAGUACAAUGUUUACAAAUCUAAUGAAAAGUUUGCUAGUUUUCAGUUAUGAAUAAUGCUUCUCGUUUUACAAGACAUUUCUACUUUCCAGGUUUUGGUCAUUGACUACAAGUUAACCUACCCAAGUGGAACUGCAACUGCUGUCCUCAUAAACGGUUUCCACACCAAGCAAGGAGACAAGAAUGCAAAGUAUGGAUUUCAUCACCCCACCUAUGCUAGGUUCAUAUAUUAGGCUGCGGUUGGAUCAAGCAUCCCUUGAUCACGAGUUACUGAUCCAAGUGAACUAAUUUACUUUCCAUGACAGGAUGCAAGUCCAUGGGUUUCUGAAGUACUUUGGGCUCAGCUUCAUAUGGAGUUUUUUCCAAUGGUUCUACACAGGCGGUGAUGUUUGCGGUUUUGUUCAGUUUCCUACUUUCGGUCUGAAGGCUUGGAAGCAAACGUAAAUAUGCAUAGUCUGCUGCUUCAAAUAUCUUCAUAAUUUGCAGCACAUAAUGCUAUCUAAUUCUCGGUUUCUUGGCUGUCAGAUUCUUCUUUGAUUUUAGCCUCACAUAUGUUGGUGCGGGGAUGAUUUGUUCACACCUUGUGAACAUCUCCACCCUCCUUGGUGCGAUCCUGUCAUGGGGGAUACUAUGGCCACUGAUCAGCAAACAAAAAGGAGAGUGGUACCCUGCAAAUAUACCAGAAAGCAGCAUGAAAAGCUUAUACGGUUACAAGGUCUCUCUCUCUUAUCACCAAACUCUUAUUUUUUUGACUUGCUUAUUCUUGAAAAAAAAAGAAUAUUGGAGAUCAUGUGUCACUAAACAUGUCCAUUUUUCCCCUUCCAGGCAUUCCUCUGCAUAGCUCUGAUCAUGGGAGAUGGUACGUACCACUUCUUUAAGGUCUUUGGUGUCACCAUUAAGAACCUACAUCAACGACUAAACCGGAAACGUGCUAGCAACAGAGGUGAGAAAAAUGAAAAACACCACAGACUCAAUUCUAAUGCAUAACUUUUCCACCUUUCAUCGUUUCAAAAUUUCAAGAGAGGGAGAUAGACUAACCUGUUGUUGUUGAUUGAAUGAACAGUAGCAAAUGGUGGGGAAGAAAUGGUCGCACUUGAUGAUCUACAGCGUGAUGAGAUCUUCAACGACGGAUCUUUCCCCUCGUGGGCAGCUUAUGCCGGAUACGCAUUGCUGACCAUCAUUUCCGCGAUCACCAUCCCACAUAUAUUCCGGCAGAUCAAGUGGUACUACGUCAUCGUGGCCUAUGUCCUCGCCCCUCUUCUCGGGUUCGCCAAUUCCUACGGGACAGGGCUCACUGACAUCAACAUGGCCUACAACUACGGCAAGAUCGCAUUGUUCAUCUUCGCAGCUUGGGCUGGCAAGGACAAUGGAGUCAUUGCCGGCCUCGCUGGCGGCACCCUAGUGAAGCAGCUGGUGAUGGCAUCCGCGGAUCUGAUGCACGACUUCAAGACAGGACACCUGACCUUGACAUCGCCGAGGUCCUUGCUCGUGGCGCAAUUUAUCGGGACAGCCAUGGGCUGCAUCAUUGCGCCUCUCACGUUCUUGCUCUUCUACAACGCGUUUGACAUCGGGAACCCCAACGGUUACUGGAAGGCGCCAUACGGGUUGAUCUACCGAAACAUGGCGAUCCUUGGUGUGGAGGGUUUCUCUGUGUUGCCCAAGCACUGCCUUGCGCUCUCCGCUGGGUUCUUCGCGUUCGCGUUUGUCUUCAGUGUCGCCCGGGACGUCCUACCGCGGAAGUACGCGAGGUUUGUGCCCCUACCAAUGGCGAUGGCUGUGCCGUUCCUUGUGGGUGGGAGCUUCGCGAUUGAUAUGUGCAUUGGGAGUCUGGUUGUCUUUGUUUGGAACACGAUGAACAAGAAGGAGGCUGUGUUCAUGGUGCCUGCGGUUGCGUCCGGGUUGAUCUGUGGAGACGGCAUAUGGACCUUCCCAUCUUCCGUGCUCGCUUUGGCCAAGAUCAAACCACCGAUUUGCAUGAAGUUCACGCCUGGAAGCUAGAAACAUUAUGGACAGUUCGUGAAAUUGUAGAAUGUGAGUGAGAUUCAGUGAAGGCAUCAAGUGUGAUUAGUGGUAGUGGACAUAAUAAGUUGAAGCCAUGUCGCCUGUAUUAUCUUUGUUGUGUAUGUGUGGGUUCUCCUUCUCCGAGAGCCACAAUACUUGAGAUUUCUAGAGCUGAUAUGUUUUUCAUCAUGUUGGGUUUAACCUAUAUUUAUGUUUUGGAAAAAAAGAUUACUACAAUAUUGUCUAACGGAAAUUAAUGCUCAUUUUUGUAUUUACAUUCUUUCAAGAUUUUAGCUACUGACUUGUAUAAUAUGCUGCCCACAAUAUGAAUUCAUAGAUUAGGAAGUAAAUCUAGUCAGGGUUAAAAGUGUAGUUGUGCAUUCACAGUUUCACACAAUGUCACCAUCUAGGUAAAUUCUUUUUAACUAAGGGUGUGUUUGCUAGUGAUUUAAUUCUUGUAGAAAUAUUUUAGAUCUAGAUUUUUUUAAGAAACAUUUCAGAUAACGUGGCGAGGUGUCACCUGGCGCUUGGCUGCUGGCCUAACAUGGAUGCCAGGUCAAACUAGCAUAGGAGAUGGUUCUACCUCCCCAACAUUGCCCCGAUGCUGCCUCCUUAUUCAUCGGCCAGGCUAGGAGACGAGGUGCCACCAGCCCGCCUGCUCCUCCUUUGGAGGUGAAGGGGUGGAUCCAACGGCCUAGGCACCAGGUUCCUCAUUGGUGGCCGCGAGAGCCUCGGUCGUGAGGGGGAAGUGUUCUCGGCACGGACCUUUGGUGGAUGAGAGGCUCAUUCCAUUGAGCAUUCGACUAUGCCAAUCAUGCCGGUGACUCCUUCUAGGCAUAUUUUCUUCUUUUGUCGAGUUCAGUCCUUUUCUAGUCUGUGCUUCGAUUCCACCAUAAUGUGCAGGGCCUUCUUGAUGGGACCGCCUCUUGGUGGCGUAGGCCAGUCUACUGCUGCCGCUGGCUCCUCAUCACGGCAUCGACUGACGUCGCUAGCUACCAUUGUGGUUCACCUGCCGUGGCAGAGCCCUCUCGUCACCCCUCCAUGGUCCUCUAGCUUUGAGGAGGGGGGCUUGCUAGGCGUCAUCCCCCUGACAAGGGAGCAUGACGAGGCAUGUGUGCCACAUCACCGCUGGCUACCUCGCUUCGCUCAUGCAUGCCAUUCAACACAUGGCUUAACAAUGUUUCGAGUGCAUGCAAAGGUGUUCUUUUAUAUUGCCUAAGAGCAUAUACAAUAAUGGACUUAUAGUCAAGCUAAUGUUGAUUUGGAGGAGAAAAGACAGGAGAGAGAUGAUAGCUUGGCUCUCAUGUAAGCACUAAGCUACGCACGGAUGCAUAGGUAGUGGUGGCCCAAAUAGCAAGUAUUGUAAGGAGGAAUCGAAAAGAGAAAAUGUCUUAGAGACAAGUAUGAAACAACUUACUGUAUAACUUGGCUCUAAUCACUUGGCUUAUAGUCAACACUUGACUCUAUUAUUAACCUUGCUCUAAGCAGUAAUACUCAAUGGUGUACAUGUGCGAGGAAAACCAACAAUAGCGGCACAAAGGGGAACUAAAAUUGCAAAAAUCAAUGACAAUGAAAGAACACAUAAUUUUCAAUAAUGGAACACAGAAAGGAACAGUAUAUGUUUCAAUGGCGUUCAAGGAAUUUUUUUAUAAAAUAUAUAUACCUAGAAAAACUAAAAUAACGUAUGAUUUAGAACGGGGAGUAGUUUUAUAUUGUACCUGCUACAAAAGUCGGUCUAGGCUCUUCAUAUUUGGACAAAUUUCAGGGUUUCAUUUUGUAGAGUAUACACAGGCACUUAGCUUUUUUUUUUUUUGAAACGAGGGUACCGGCCUAAUGAUAAUAGGACAUGAUUCCCCGAUAACCUGCGUUCAAAAGAAAUUCCAUCAAUCUGUACGAGAUGAAUUAUACACAGAUAUGACGGCAAGAAAAAUGCUGCUACCGAUCAACUCGCUCGAGUCGCUUUCCUUCUUCCCCUAACAAGUCUCUCGACAGCUAAUAAUGCGACGACUAGAAAAUUUCUUAGUAUUUUUUCUGCGGCGAGAAUACUUCAGGGUUUGGACUAGUGAUUGUAAGUGAGAUUUUCAGAUAACGAGUGAUUCUAAGUGACAUGGCAUAGUUGACAUUUGAAGGAUUUUUCUAUAUAUAAAUCCCGGCUACUAACAUCUAAACCUCACCAUCUUCUGAUGCAGCUCACCGCCUUGGGGUUGCGCUUGUAAGCAUCGGCCUCUACGCUUCUCGUGAGGCAGGGAUCGAGGCCGCCAUGGACCGCGCGCGGAGCGGUGCCGCUGCCGCUGCCACGGACGAUGAAGAGAUCGAGAAGCACGAGCCGGUGCCUGAGGACAUGGAGUCUGACCCGGCGGCGGCGCGCGAGAAAGAGCAGGUGCCGCCGUGGCGGGAGCAGGUGACGCUGCGCGGCAUGGUGGCGGCGCUGCUGAUCGGCUUCAUGUACACCGUCAUCGUCUUGAAGAUGGUUCUCAGCACGGGGCAGUUGCCCACGCUGAACGUCUCGGCGGCGCUGAUGGCGUUCCUCGCGCUCCGCGGGUGGACGCGCGUGCUGGAGCGCCUCGGCGUCGCGCACCGCCCCUUCACGCGGCAGGAGAACUGCGUCGUCGAGACCUGCGCCGUCGCGUGCUACACCAUCGCCUUCGGC